UGGGCAUCAGUGAUGAGUUCAUAUAAAAUCGUUAUCCUUGCACUUUGAUUUGCAAUGAAGAAAUUAAUGGGGAUUUAUAUCUCUGAGAUGCUC
rnacentral:snoRNA from 1 species